rnacentral:piRNA from 1 species
UGAGCUAUCACAGGUCAAGUUGUUGCUUCA